rnacentral:rRNA from 1 species
GUAGGGAAUCUUGCGCAAUGGGCGAAAGCCUGACGCAGCCAUGCCGCGUGAAUGAUGAAGGUCUUAGGAUUGUAAAAUUCUUUCACCGGGGACGAUAAUGACGGUACCCGGAGAAGAAGCCCCGGCUAACUUCGUGCCAGCAGCCGCGGUAAUACGAAGGGGGCUAGCGUUGCUCGGAAUUACUGGGCGUAAAGGGAGCGUAGGCGGAUAGUUUAGUCAGAGGUGAAAGCCCAGGGCUCAACCUUGGAAUUGCCUUUGAUACUGGCUAUCUUGAGUAUCGAAGAGGUAUGUGGAACUCCGAGUGUAGAGGUGAAAUUCGUAGAUAUUCGGAAGAACACCAGUGGCGAAGGCGACAUACUGGUCCAUUACUGACGCUGAGGCUCGAAAGCGUGGGGAGCAAACAGGAUUAGAUACCCCAGUAGUCC